rnacentral:lncRNA from 1 species
UAUAUCUUUCCAUGUCAUACCCUUUAGAUUAAGCGAAGAUAUUAGCAAGAGAAGUGUUGUAAACCUUUAUCCCAUGGAAUCAGCAGAAGCCUUAGAAUUACAAGAUUCUACACUGAAGUAAGUUUACCUUUUAAUGACAAAAACAGACUCCUCCUUUUUACAUUGAAGCAUUUGUGCUUUAAAUUCCCCUGCUAUCUUUUUUCAUCCCUUGUUCCUACAGUGGUCAGAUUCAGCUGGAGACAUCGCCAGGGUGUGAGGUGCAAAACGAUGUCACAUUGCAGAGUAACGGCAGUCAGUAUUCUCCAAAUGAGGUGAGUUUCCUGAAGGUUAAUGGAACUGGAGGCCUUUCAUAAAGCCUGAAUUGGAGCAUCUUUUACAGCAGGCGUUCUUAACCAGGGGUCUGUGAGCUUGAAGUGAAAUUCAAAAAUACAUUAUUCUUGUGGGGACAUGGUGGAGUGGGCAUGAAAUAUUUAUUAAAUAAUACACAAUACAGUAUGGACUUUUUAAGGGGUCCAUGGUUUUCACCUGAUUGGCAGAGCGGUCUGGAACAAAAACGGUUAAGAACCCCUGAGUUACAGAAAGAGAUCAUC